rnacentral:ncRNA from 1 species
GGGGAGUAUGGUUGCAAAGCUGAAACUUAAAGGAAUUGAUGGAAGGGCACCCCCAGGAGUGGAGCCUACGGCUUAAUUUGACUCAACAGGGGAAACCUCACCCGGCCCAGACAUGGACAUGAUUGACAGAUUGAGAGCUCUUUCUCGAUUCCGUGGGUGGCGGUGCAUGGCCGUUCUUAGUUGGUGGAGCGAUUCUAUUCUAUUCUAUUCUAAAAUGAACAAGGUAUGUGUAGACAUAGUUAAUUUGAGAAGUGAAAUUUAAUUUGGUGGAAACAGCACAAGGACUGUAACUUUCUGCAAGUGCAAGUUUUUGAAAUGAAGCAACUAUUUCCUGUCAUUAUUUACAGAAAAUGUGUUGAAGGACUGCACAGCAACACUUAUAAUGUUAUUAGGACGGGGUUGUGUUUUGCAUUUUGUUUUAAACAGUAUUGAUGAUUUAAAGGAGAAAUUCCUUAAAAGAAUAAUUUUUCACAUCCCUUAAUGGUGAUAUUGACCGAUAGCAGAAAGCUGGUGGAAAAGCAGGUGGAAACUUUUUUAGCUAUAGCUUGCUGAGGAAUCCGUAGAUUGAAAAAUGAGUCCUUAAAAGGAACUUGGCAGUUUAUAGGUCAUCAGGAUGUGAUGGGACCACUUCUGUUCA